AAGUCUAGAGUGGUUGGCGUACGGGGUGCGUGGUUGGUUAGCGGUCGCCAAAUAUUUAUUCGUGUGGGGAUUUGGGGAGUGGGAGCGGCAAGAGACGGAGAGGAGGAGGAGGAGGGGCAACGAGCGGCGGCAGGGAGAGGCGGAGGCGCGUGGGUCCUUUCUACCGCAGGGUGUAACAGCCUAUGGGCGCGUACCCGGGGUUCUCCCUCGAGUUCAAACGGGACCUCAGAAAGACCCUACCGUUCUCGUCGCGGCUCCUAAACCUCUUCCAACGGUGGCUGGAGUCCCGGUCGUAGACCUUCGUCUACCGACUACGACCCUAGUUCAUGUAGGGGUCGUUGUGGAAGAGGAUGAUACUAGUCCAAGAACUGUGGUGGCGGUACGAGCCACGGCAGGGUCUGGCAAUGAGUACCUGGCCACCCCUCUAGUUAAACUCGUGGAUGAAGAGCUACCGAUCCCCAUUGCGGUGGCAGGGACGAUACCUCUACUGGUUCACCAAACUGUGGUUGAUGGUGAAGUAGCAGGGACUUAACCGAGGAUCGUGGUUCAAGAGGAUGAGAAGAGUGUUCCGAUAGUUACUCAUGUUCCUCCGAUUCCGCGAACCGCAACUAUGGCAGGGGCAUGAACAGCCUGGUCAGAGUAUGAACAAUGAGAGUUUCCGGCGGUUCCCGCAUCUCUUUAGUAAGAGAGGGGAAAGGGAAGAAUCGUCGUAGGAAGGGCAGAUGUUCCUCCAAUAACGACUCAACUUCCGUCGACCGCGAAGUACCUAAGUCAAACUACUCGGGUGGGAACAAUUCCUGGAACUUAGGGUGGUUAACAGACGUAAGAGACGUCGAAUGCGUCUUGAACUCAGGCGUGAAAGACCUAACUUGCAAGAACAACUCUGGAUGAAGCGACUGCAAGGGCGUCUGAGCAUGUUCUGAGAAUGUAGUAACUCGUCACAUUGACGAAUACCAAAACUGGAACUUGCACCUUGGUUCUGAGAACUCGAACAGUUCUCACCAAAGGGACGACCUUUCAUGGAGAAACGACCACAGCAUCUACCUGCGUUGUAAACCCGACUACUGGAACGACGUAGAGAGCGGUGAGAAGUCAGAGAGCUCCGACAACAACCCUUCCUGUUCGAACAGCAUAGCUGAAGCACGAGUGAGUACGUGUGACGACACCUGGAACAUUUACUCUGGUUCGAACUACUACUCUAAUUCAGUACCGAGCGUAAACGGCGGGUUUUCCAGCAACUCCACUUGCGGGAACGGUUCCGUAACCGACCAGUUUUCCUACUCCGAAUGAAGCGUCGUUUACGACGACGAGACCGGAGUUCUUCCAGCAGUGGUGCACAGUGUUUACUCCUCCAGGUCUUCCGACGAUGACGAGAGUUCCCGAGACUAGUGGCGGCACGAUGGUGGCAAUCGCGAUCCAACCUACGCGUCGUCUUCUUCGAGUUGGAAGGCCAGGAAGGGUGCUGGUGGUAACCUAGUAAGGGUGUCUGGCACCUCGAGUCCUCUCAAGCGGCACUCAUGUUCCGUUUCUUCUAGAGACUCCUCCUCAUGUGGUUGCGGUAGUUCCUCCUUUAAUCGUUCCAACAAUUCUAGGUUCUUCUCGAACUGUAACUACACGAACACGUGCCUCUCGGUCUCUCCUUGCUAUACCAACUCAUGAAGCCACUCGUCGAGAGACCAAAGUGUAAGUGACGGUUACCGACCCACGUUAGAAUACCUAGGUCCACGCAGUUCGGUGGCUAAUAGAUACCACUGCACUCGGCGGGGUUGGGGUACUGACACAAGACCAGGUUCUACCGUGUCUCGUACUGACGAGCGGGUUACUUCCCUUACAACUGUCCGGGACAGUGUUAGGAAUUGACCAGAAAACAGUCUUUACUGGUUGGCUCCAAACUCUGAACGAUGGUCUAACGAGAACGUUAGUUCUUCCUCCAACUCCUAGAACUCCGUCCGCCAUAAGUCCAGUAGGUUUAACUGCUCCGACGAAACUCUCUCCCAGACGGUGAGGCGUUCAGACUCGUGCGAAAGAUGAACCUGACCCGGCACGUGAGGAAGUCCUAGUGGUUGACGCCACAGGUCCUGUGGUGGGUCUAGGUGUGGGUGUACACGAUGAGGUUGAAGUUGCUGUAGUAGGUCAGGUAGUAGUUGUACCUGCGACUACACUAGUGGUAACUCUUGAGCGCCAGACUGCUCUUCGAAGAGAGGCAGAAGGCGCUCCCACACCACAUGCCACGUCCGUAACCGGGCCCACACAUGCUGUAGGUGAGGGGGUCCUAGGGCAGGUUCCUCCUCUAACGGCUGGCACAGUUGUUCUACGAGCGCCACGAGCUGUGGUUGUAGGACACCCACUUGGGACUGACGCCAGAGUUCUGGGCGUUCAUGCGGCUCCAGUUCGGACGCGAGUGGUUGUACCAACUCCGGCGGUUCGUCUAGGCGCGGCUCGAGCGGUUCCGCGUCAUUCGGCACGAACAUAUCGUCGAGGGGUGAAAAUUAACGUUCCUCCUACAGUGGUGGUAUCGGCACAAAUGAAAACUUAUUAGACCCAGAGCAUAGGUGAACAACCAAUCCGAUCAAACAAAGAUCCACGCCGCGCUACACGAGUAGGGAACUAAACCACCAAAAACUCCGCCAACAGCCACACAUAACAUUUGACUCACCGCUUAACAAGUAGAUUCAGACUCAAACAAUGCAAUACAAAGUUUAAUGUUUUAAAGAGGUCUACAAGACAGAAUCAGAGUGUAACAAGCAACAAACACACAACCGAACGGUUAACGCGACGACAAUGAAACGGGGUAUAACCUACAUUAUUACAGGAUAUAAUACCCUAUCUCCCUCAUCGGUCCUCGAAUUGAAUUUUAUUAAUAGUCACGUGCAAUCCGUACUGUGGGAUGGCAACGACGACGAGGCUCCAGUGCUCGUUACGGUGCCGCCGACGGUACAAUCAGUGAUCGAAGAAGCAACAACGAAAGGAGAUGAGAAGGUAGCGGCCCGACUCGUUACGGUUGGACUGGAAAGGUCGAGGCAGCUACAAAAAUAAACAACAUAGAAACUCUUAUUUCUAAAAGGUCGUGAUAUAACUGUCGUCAUAAUAUGAUCCUAACCGUCGUUUCUCAAACCUCGACGGUAAAUUGUUUUGUCAUGUCGCUCCUCCACACGAGAACUCACAGUAUGUCCUUAGGUAUAGGUUCCCGUCCAGUUAUGGACUUAGGACU
rnacentral:rRNA from 1 species